UUAGGGAGACCUUACCCCCAUUUCCUCAAGCUUUGGGGUAAAUGCCUAGAGCAAGCAGAGAAGUGGUUGGUCAUCUCAAGGUCGGUGAGGGUUGGAUGUAAGGCUUUCAAACUUGUCUGGUUUGAUAUUAAAGCUUUAGACUGCAACAAUAUAAGCGCGUACCCACAAAAUAACUUGUGUGGAAGCAUUUAUUGAUUGUUUCUCUCAAUGCUAAAUGAAAUGUAUUCAGCAACAGAUUUAGUUUUAGUUUCACUAAGCUGACUGCUGGAUUGUAUUCCAGUAAGAACCAUGAAAACUGCAUAGAGAUAAGCAAUUAAGUCAGGUAGAAGAUUAGUUGUGUCCAUCGAUUGAUUAAACAAUGGAUGAAGCAAUGAAGGCUUCAUAGACACCAAUGAUUUUGAGGUUAGU
rnacentral:misc_RNA from 1 species